GACGGACUGUGCGAACGUUGUUCGGAAUUACUGGGCUUAAAGGGCGCGUAGGCGGUGUGUUAAGUCGGCGGUGAAAUACUUCGGCUCAACCGGAGAAUGGCCGCUGAAACUGGCACGCUCGAGGGAGGUAGAGGUGCACGGAACUUCCGGUGGAGCGGUGAAAUGCGUUGAUAUCGGAAGGAACGCCGGUGGCGAAAGCGAUGCACUGGACCUCUUCUGACGCUGAGGCGCGAAAGCUAGGGUAGCGAACGGGAUUAGAAACCCGUGUAGU
rnacentral:rRNA from 1 species